UGGGGAAUAUUGGACAAUGGGGGCAACCCUGAUCCAGCCAUGCCGCGUGUGUGAAGAAGGCCUUAGGGUUGUAAAGCACUUUCAGUGGGGAGGAAGGCUUCUGGCUAAUAACCUGGAGUACUUGACGUUACCCACAGAAGAAGCACCGGCUAAUUUCGUGCCAGCAGCCGCGGUAAUACGAAAGGUGCGAGCGUUAAUCGGAAUUACUGGGCGUAAAGCGCGCGUAGGCGGCUAUUUAAGUCUGAUGUGAAAUCCCCGGGCUCAACCUGGGAAUUGCAUCGGAUACUGGGUAGCUAGAAUGCGGUAGAGGGGGUGGAAUUCCAGGUGUAGCGGUGAAAUGCGUAGAUAUC
rnacentral:rRNA from 1 species